GGCCGCGGGAAUUCGAUUCAGGCCUAACACAUGCAAGUCGAACGCUGUAGCAAUACAGAGUGGCGCACGGGUGAGUAACGCGUGGGAACGUGCCCUUCAGUACGGAACAACGUCGGGAAACUGACGCUAAUACCGUAUAAUGUCUUCGGACCAAAGAUUUAUCGCUGAAGGAGCGGCCCGCGUCUGAUUAGCUAGUUGGUGAGGUAACGGCUCACCAAGGCUACGAUCAGUAGCUGGUCUGAGAGGAUGAUCAGCCACACUGGGACUGAGACACGGCCCAGACUCCUACGGGAGGCAGCAGUGAGGAAUAUUGGACAAUGGGCGAAAGCCUGAUCCAGCCAUGCCGCGUGAGUGAUGGAGGCCUUCGGGUUGUAAAGCUCUUUCAGGUGCGACGAUAAUGAC
rnacentral:rRNA from 1 species